UUAAGCGACUAAGCGUACACGGUGGAUGCCCUGGCAGUCAGAGGCGAUGAAGGACGUGCUAAUCUGCGAAAAGCGUCGGUAAGGUGAUAUGAACCGUUACAGCCGGCGAUGUCCGAAUGGGGAAACCCAGUGCAAUUCGUUGCACUAUCGUUAACUGAAUACAUAGGUUAACGAGGCGAACCGGGGGAACUGAAACAUCUAAGUACCCCGAGGAAAAGAAAUCAACCGAGAUUCCCCCAGUAGCGGCGAGCGAACGGGGAGCAGCCCAGAGUCUGAAUCAGCUUGUGUGUUAGUGGAACGGUCUGGAAAGUCCGACGGUACAGGGUGAUAGUCCCGUACACCAAAAUGCACAGGCUGUGAACUCGAAGAGUAGGGCGGGACACGUGGUAUCCUGUCUGAAUAUGGGGGGACCAUCCUCCAAGGCUAAAUACUCCUGACUGACCGAUAGUGAACCAGUACCGUGAGGGAAAGGCGAAAAGAACCCCGGCGAGGGGAGUGAAAAAGAACCUGAAACCGUGUACGUACAAGCAGUGGGAGCACCUUCGGGUGUGACUGCGUACCUUUUGUAUAAUGGGUCAGCGACUUAUAUUCUGUAGCAAGGUUAACCGUAUAGGGGAGCCGCAGGGAAACCGAGUCUUAACUGGGCGUUAAGUUGCAGGGUAUAGACCCGAAACCCGGUGAUCUAGCCAUGGGCAGGUUGAAGGUUGGGUAACACUAACUGGAGGACCGAACCGACUAAUGUUGAAAAAUUAGCGGAUGACUUGUGGCUGGGGGUGAAAGGCCAAUCAAACCGGGAGAUAGCUGGUUCUCCCCGAAAGCUAUUUAGGUAGCGCCUCGUGAAUUCAUCUUCGGGGGUAGAGCACUGUUUCGGCUAGGGGGUCAUCCCGACUUACCAACCCGAUGCAAACUACGAAUACCGAAGAAUGUUAUCACGGGAGACACACGGCGGGUGCUAACGUCCGUCGUGAAGAGGGAAACAACCCAGACCGCCAGCUAAGGUCCCAAAGUCACAGUUAAGUGGGAAACGAUGUGGGAAGGCACAGACAGCCAGGAUGUUGGCUUAGAAGCAGCCAUCAUUUAAAGAAAGCGUAAUAGCUCACUGGUCGAGUCGGCCUGCGCGGAAGAUGUAACGGGGCUAAACUGUGCACCGAAGCUGCGGCAGCGACACUAUGUGUUGUUGGGUAGGGGAGCGUUCUGUAAGCCUGCGAAGGUGGCCUGUGAGGGUUGCUGGAGGUAUCAGAAGUGCGAAUGCUGACAUAAGUAACGAUAAUGCGGGUGAAAAGCCCGCACGCCGGAAGACCAAGGGUUCCUGUCCAACGUUAAUCGGGGCAGGGUGAGUCGACCCCUAAGGCGAGGCCGAAAGGCGUAGUCGAUGGGAAACAGGUUAAUAUUCCUGUACUUGGUGUUACUGCGAAGGGGGGACGGAGAAGGCUAUGUUAGCCGGGCGACGGUUGUCCCGGUUUAAGCAUGUAGGCGGAGGUUCCAGGUAAAUCCGGUACCUUUUUAACGCUGAGGUGUGAUGACGAGGCACUACGGUGCUGAAGUAACAAAUGCCCUGCUUCCAGGAAAAGCCUCUAAGCAUCAGGUAACAUUAAAUCGUACCCCAAACCGACACAGGUGGUCAGGUAGAGAAUACCAAGGCGCUUGAGAGAACUCGGGUGAAGGAACUAGGCAAAAUGGUGCCGUAACUUCGGGAGAAGGCACGCUGAUAUGUAGGUGAAGCCCCUGCGGGUGGAGCUGAAAUCAGUCGAAGAUACCAGCUGGCUGCAACUGUUUAUUAAAAACACAGCACUGUGCAAACACGAAAGUGGACGUAUACGGUGUGACGCCUGCCCGGUGCCGGAAGGUUAAUUGAUGGGGUUAUCCGUAAGGAGAAGCUCUUGAUCGAAGCCCCGGUAAACGGCGGCCGUAACUAUAACGGUCCUAAGGUAGCGAAAUUCCUUGUCGGGUAAGUUCCGACCUGCACGAAUGGCGUAAUGAUGGCCAGGCUGUCUCCACCCGAGACUCAGUGAAAUUGAACUCGCUGUGAAGAUGCAGUGUACCCGCGGCAAGACGGAAAGACCCCGUGAACCUUUACUAUAGCUUGACACUGAACAUUGAGCCUUGAUGUGUAGGAUAGGUGGGAGGCUUUGAAGCGUGGACGCCAGUCUGCGUGGAGCCAACCUUGAAAUACCACCCUUUAAUGUUUGAUGUUCUAACGUUGGCCCCUUAUCGGGGUUGCGGACAGUGUCUGGUGGGUAGUUUGACUGGGGCGGUCUCCUCCCAAAGAGUAACGGAGGAGCACGAAGGUUAGCUAAUCCUGGUCGGACAUCAGGAGGUUAGUGCAAUGGCAUAAGCUAGCUUGACUGCGAGCGUGACGGCGCGAGCAGGUGCGAAAGCAGGUCAUAGUGAUCCGGUGGUUCUGAAUGGAAGGGCCAUCGCUCAACGGAUAAAAGGUACUCCGGGGAUAACAGGCUGAUACCGCCCAAGAGUUCAUAUCGACGGCGGUGUUUGGCACCUCGAUGUCGGCUCAUCACAUCCUGGGGCUGAAGUAGGUCCCAAGGGUAUGGCUGUUCGCCAUUUAAAGUGGUACGCGAGCUGGGUUUAGAACGUCGUGAGACAGUUCGGUCCCUAUCUGCCGUGGGCGCUGGAGAAUUGAGGGGGGCUGCUCCUAGUACGAGAGGACCGGAGUGGACGCAUCACUGGUGUUCGGGUUGUCAUGCCAAUGGCAUUGCCCGGUAGCUAAAUGCGGAAGAGAUAAGUGCUGAAAGCAUCUAAGCACGAAACUUGCCCCGAGAUGAGUUCUCCCUGA
rnacentral:rRNA from 1 species